rnacentral:rRNA from 1 species
CCUACGGGAGGCAGCAGUGAGGAAUAUUGGUCAAUGGCCGAGAGGCUGAACCAGCCAAGUCGCGUGAGGGAAGACGGCCCUACGGGUUGUAAACCUCUUUUGUCGGGGAGCAAAGAGAGUCACGUGUGACUCAUUGAGAGUACCCGAAGAAAAAGCAUCGGUUAACUCCGUGCCAGCAGCCGCGGUAAUACGGAGGAUGCGAGCGUUAUCCGGAUUGAUUGGGUGUAAAGGGUGCGCAGGCGGAGGUGCAAGUCAGCGGUCAAAGUGCGGGGAUCCAACCCGUCCUGCCGUUGAAACUGCAUCCCUUGAGUGCGCGAGAAGUAUGCGGAAUGCGUGGUGUAGCGGUGAAAUGCAUAGAUAUCACGCAGAACUCCGAUUGCGAAGGCAGCAUACCGGCGCGCAACUUACGCUCAUGCACGAAAGCGUGGGUAUCGAACAGGAUUAGAUACCCUGGUAGUC